GACGAACGCUGGCGGCGUGCUUAACACAUGCAAGUCGAACGGAAAGGCCCUGCUUUUGUGGGGUGCUCGAGUGGCGAACGGGUGAGUAACACGUGAGUAACCUGCCCUUGACUUUGGGAUAACUUCAGGAAACUGGGGCUAAUACCGGAUAGGAGCUCCUGCUGCAUGGUGGGGGUUGGAAAGUUUCGGCGGUUGGGGAUGGACUCGCGGCUUAUCAGCUUGUUGGUGGGGUAGUGGCUUACCAAGGCUUUGACGGGUAGCCGGGCUGAGAGGGUGACCGGCCACACUGCGCCUGGGAUGCGGCCCAGCCUCCUCCCGUACGCAGAAGUGGAGAAUAUUGCACUAGGCGCUGAAGCCUGGUGCAGCCCAGCCGCGUGGGGGAUGACGGCCUUCGGGUUGUAUUCCGCUUUCGCCUGUGCCGAAGCGUUAGUGACGGUACUGGGUGAAGAAGCACCGGCUAACUACGUG
rnacentral:rRNA from 1 species